GGGCGCUUAGCUCAGUUGGUUAGAGUAUCAGCUCGACAAGCUGAGGGUCACAGGUUCGAGCCCUGUAGCGCCCA
rnacentral:tRNA from 1 species